GACGAACGCUGGCGGCGUGCUUAACACAUGCAAGUCGAACGGUAAGGCCCUUCGGGGUACACGAGUAGCGAACGGGUGAGUAACACGUGGGUGAUCUGCCCUGCACUUCGGGAUAAGCCUGGGAAACUGGGUCUAAUACCGGAUAAGACCAUGCGCUUCACGGUGUGUGGUGGAGAGCUUUUGCGGUGUGGGAUGGGCCCGCGGCCUAUCAGCUUGUUGGUGGGGUAAUGGCCUACCAAGGCGACGACGGGUAGCCGGCCUGAGAGGGUGACCGGCCACACUGGGACUGAGAUACGGCCCAGACUCCUACGGGAGGCAGCAGUGGGGAAUAUUGCACAAUGGGCGCAAGCCUGAUGCAGCGACGCCGCGUGAGGGAUGACGGCCUUCGGGUUGUAAACCUCUUUCAGUAGGGACGAAGCGCAAGUGACGGUACCUACAGAAGAAGGACCGGCCAACUACGUGCCAGCCGCCGCGGUAA
rnacentral:rRNA from 1 species